CUUACUAAAGAUAAGCACCUGGAAGUCUUAGACAGCAGGCUUUUGGUGAAACAUGCGACAGAAAAUUCUCUGCUUCAGAGAAGAGGAUAUUCACUCUACUUGGCUUUCCUCCUAUGUGACCAUGACCAAAAGAUUUUGGCAAGAACCCAAACUCCAGGCUUCCUUUGACAGUAGCAGAAAAUACCCUUUCUUCUCAGCCUCUCCAUGCUUCUGCUUUGUCAAGGGACCUAUUCAGGUGGCAUGGGAGAACCCCAGGUUGAAAGUAUCUGCAACUUGGUUGUGUCCAAAGAAUCGCCCAAAGAAAUGAAACACAAAAGCACACAGAACCAACCCCAGCCUCUUUGCCCAACUGCAGCAACUAACCAAACACACUGAAACAAAAGGCUUGAUUACCUGUUUCCCAAUUUGGGUGGGUUGUGGUUCAGAUGCUAUGGAACAGAACAAAUAUCUCUUGACAGAAGUUUCAUAUAUUAUGGUUGUUAAAUCUGCUUAGAACCAAAUUCUAGUCUUUGAUCCUAGAUGCUUGACUUCAACCUCUACUGUGUGGU
rnacentral:lncRNA from 1 species